CAGCCGCCGCGGUAAUACGAGGGGGGCGAGCGUUGUUCGGAAUUAUUGGGCGUAAAGGGUGCGUAGGCGGUUUGACAAGUCUUAUGUGAAAUCUCUGGGCUCAACCCAGAGUCUGCAUGGGAAACUGUCGGGCUUGAGUAUGGGAGAGGUGAGUGGAAUUUCCGGUGUAGCGGUGAAAUGCGUAGAUAUCGGAAGGAACACCUGUGGCGAAAGCGGCUCACUGGACCAUUACUGACGCUGAUGCACGAAAGCUAGGGGAGCAAACGGGAUUAGAUACCCCUGUAGUCCCUGUCUCUUAUAU
rnacentral:rRNA from 1 species